rnacentral:tRNA from 1 species
GGCGCCAUGGCUUAGUGGUAAAGUGCCUGUCUUGUAAACAGGAGAUCCUGGGUUCGAUCCCCAGUGGUGCCU